AGAAUCAACGCUGGCGGCGUGCCUAACACAUGCAAGUCGAACGAGAAAGUGGAGCAAUCCACGAGUAAAGUGGCGCACGGGUGAGUAACACGUGACUAACCUACCCUUGAGUGGGGGAUAACCUAGGGAAACCUGGGCUAAUACCGCAUAAUACCUACGGGUCAAAGGAGCAAUUCGCUUAAGGAGGGGGUCGCGGCCGAUUAGUUAGUUGGCGGGGUAAUGGCCCACCAAGACGAUGAUCGGUAUCCGGCCUGAGAGGGCGCACGGACACACUGGAACUGAAACACGGUCCAGACUCCUACGGGAGGCAGCAGUGGGGAAUUUUGCGCAAUGGGGGAAACCCUGACGCAGCAACGCCGCGUGGAGGAUGAAGUCCCUUGGGACGUAAACUCCUUUCGAUCGGGACGAUUAUGACGGUACCGGAAGAAGAAGCCCGGCUAACUUCGCGCCAGCAGCCGC
rnacentral:rRNA from 1 species